UACGUAGGGGGCAAGCGUUGUCCGGAAUCAUUGGGCGUAAAGAGCGCGUAGGCGGCCCGGUAAGUCCGCUGUGAAAGUCGGGGGCUCAACCCUCGGAUGCCGGUGGAUACUGUCGGGCUAGAGUGCGGAAGAGGCGAGUGGAACUCCUGGUGUAGCGGUGAAAUGCGCAGAUAUCAGGAGGAACACCAAUUGCGAAGGCAGCUCGCUGGGACGUGACUGACGCUGAGACGCGAAAGCGUGGGGAGCAAACAGG
rnacentral:rRNA from 1 species